CGGUCCUAAGGUAGCGAAAUUCCUUGUCGGGUAAGUUCCGACCCGCACGAAAGGCGUAACGAUUUGGGCACUGUCUCAACAACAGACUCGGUGAAAUUGUAAUUCCGGUGAAGAUGCCGGAUACCUGCGACAGGACGGAAAGACCCCAUGGAGCUUUACUGUAGCUUGACAUUGGGUCUUGGUACUACAUGUACAGGAUAGGUGGGAGGCUUUGAAACCAGGACGCCAGUUUUGGCGGAGCCAUCCUUGGGAUACCACCCUUGUAGUACUGGGACUCUAACCAUAGGCCAUGAAUCUGGUCUUGGGACACUGUCAGGUGGGCAGUUUGACUGGGGCGGUCGCCUCCCAAAAGGUAACGGAGGCGCUCAAAGGUUCUCUCAGUACGGUCGGAAAUCGUACGUAGAGUGUAAAGGCAAAAGAG
rnacentral:rRNA from 1 species